rnacentral:ncRNA from 1 species
CGCGCCAGCGGCAUUGCCGGGUAGCCACGUGCGGACGAGAUAACCGCUGAAUGCAUCUAAGCGGGAAGCUCCCCUCAAAACAAGGUUUCCCUAUCAGAGCCGUGGAAGACCACCACGUUGAUAGGUGGCGUGUGGAAGCGUGGUAACACGUGAAGCUAAGCCAUACUAAUCGCUCGAUCGGCUUGAUCGC